rnacentral:rRNA from 1 species
CAGCCGCCACGGGAAUACGUAGGGUGCAAGCGUUAAUCGGAAUUACUGGGCGUAAAGCGUGCGCAGGCGGUUCGGAAAGAAAGAUGUGAAAACCCAGGGCUUAACUUUGGGCUUGCUUUCGAUACGGGCAGACUUGAGGCAUUGAGGGGGAUGGAAUUCCGCGUGUAGCAGUGAAAUGCGUAGAUAUCGGAAGGAACACCUGUGGCGAAAGCGGCUCACUGGACCAUUACUGACGCUGAGGUACGAAAGCAUGGGGAGCAAACAGGAUUAGAUACCCCAGUAGUCCCUGUCUCUUAUACAA